rnacentral:rRNA from 1 species
GGUUAAGCGACUAAGCGUACACGGUGGAUGCCCUGGCAGUCAGAGGCGAUGAAGGACGUGCUAAUCUGCGAUAAGCGUCGGUAAGGUGAUAUGAACCGUUAUAACCGGCGAUUUCCGAAUGGGGAAACCCAGUGUGAUUCGUCACACUAUCAUUAACUGAAUCCAUAGGUUAAUGAGGCGAACCGGGGGAACUGAAACAUCUAAGUACCCCGAGGAAAAGAAAUCAACCGAGAUUCCCCCAGUAGCGGCGAGCGAACGGGGAGGAGCCCAGAGCCUGAAUCAGUGUGUGUGUUAGUGGAAGCGUCUGGAAAGGCGCGCGAUACAGGGUGACAGCCCCGUACACAAAAAUGCACAUGCUGUGAGCUCGAUGAGUAGGGCGGGACACGUGGUAUCCUGUCUGAAUAUGGGGGGACCAUCCUCCAAGGCUAAAUACUCCUGACUGACCGAUAGUGAACCAGUACCGUGAGGGAAAGGCGAAAAGAACCCCGGCGAGGGGAGUGAAAAAGAACCUGAAACCGUGUACGUACAAGCAGUGGGAGCACAGAGCAAUCUGUGUGACUGCGUACCUUUUGUAUAAUGGGUCAGCGACUUAUAUUCUGUAGCAAGGUUAACCGAAUAGGGGAGCCGAAGGGAAACCGAGUCUUAACUGGGCGUUAAGUUGCAGGGUAUAGACCCGAAACCCGGUGAUCUAGCCAUGGGCAGGUUGAAGGUUGGGUAACACUAACUGGAGGACCGAACCGACUAAUGUUGAAAAAUUAGCGGAUGACUUGUGGCUGGGGGUGAAAGGCCAAUCAAACCGGGAGAUAGCUGGUUCUCCCCGAAAGCUAUUUAGGUAGCGCCUCGUGAAUUCAUCUCCGGGGGUAGAGCACUGUUUCGGCAAGGGGGUCAUCCCGACUUACCAACCCGAUGCAAACUGCGAAUACCGGAGAAUGUUAUCACGGGAGACACACGGCGGGUGCUAACGUCCGUCGUGAAGAGGGAAACAACCCAGACCGCCAGCUAAGGUCCCAAAGUCAUGGUUAAGUGGGAAACGAUGUGGGAAGGCCCAGACAGCCAGGAUGUUGGCUUAGAAGCAGCCAUCAUUUAAAGAAAGCGUAAUAGCUCACUGGUCGAGUCGGCCUGCGCGGAAGAUGUAACGGGGCUAAACCAUGCACCGAAGCUGCGGCAGCGACACUGUGUGUUGUUGGGUAGGGGAGCGUUCUGUAAGCCUGUGAAGGUGUGCUGUGAGGCAUGCUGGAGGUAUCAGAAGUGCGAAUGCUGACAUAAGUAACGAUAAAGCGGGUGAAAAGCCCGCUCGCCGGAAGACCAAAGGGUUCCUGUCCAACGUUAAUCGGGGCAGGGUGAGUCGACCCCUAAGGCGAGGCCGAAAGGCGUAGUCGAUGGGAAACAGGUUAAUAUUCCUGUACUUGGUGUUACUGCGAAGGGGGGACGGAGAAGGCUAUGUUGGCCGGGCGACGGUUGUCCCGGUUUAAGCGUGUAGGCUGGUUUUCCAGGCAAAUCCGGAAAAUCAAGGCUGAGGCGUGAUGACGAGGCACUACGGUGCUGAAGCAACAAAUGCCCUGCUUCCAGGAAAAGCCUCUAAGCAUCAGGUAACAUCAAAUCGUACCCCAAACCGACACAGGUGGUCAGGUAGAGAAUACCAAGGCGCUUGAGAGAACUCGGGUGAAGGAACUAGGCAAAAUGGUGCCGUAACUUCGGGAGAAGGCACGCUGAUAUGUAGGUGAAGUCCCUCGCGGAUGGAGCUGAAAUCAGUCGAAGAUACCAGCUGGCUGCAACUGUUUAUUAAAAACACAGCACUGUGCAAACACGAAAGUGGACGUAUACGGUGUGACGCCUGCCCGGUGCCGGAAGGUUAAUUGAUGGGGUCAGCGCAAGCGAAGCUCUUGAUCGAAGCCCCGGUAAACGGCGGCCGUAACUAUAACGGUCCUAAGGUAGCGAAAUUCCUUGUCGGGUAAGUUCCGACCUGCACGAAUGGCGUAAUGAUGGCCAGGCUGUCUCCACCCGAGACUCAGUGAAAUUGAACUCGCUGUGAAGAUGCAGUGUACCCGCGGCAAGACGGAAAGACCCCGUGAACCUUUACUAUAGCUUGACACUGAACAUUGAGCCUUGAUGUGUAGGAUAGGUGGGAGGCUUUGAAGUGUGGACGCCAGUCUGCAUGGAGCCGACCUUGAAAUACCACCCUUUAAUGUUUGAUGUUCUAACGUGGACCCGUGAUCCGGGUUGCGGACAGUGUCUGGUGGGUAGUUUGACUGGGGCGGUCUCCUCCUAAAGAGUAACGGAGGAGCACGAAGGUUGGCUAAUCCUGGUCGGACAUCAGGAGGUUAGUGCAAUGGCAUAAGCCAGCUUGACUGCGAGCGUGACGGCGCGAGCAGGUGCGAAAGCAGGUCAUAGUGAUCCGGUGGUUCUGAAUGGAAGGGCCAUCGCUCAACGGAUAAAAGGUACUCCGGGGAUAACAGGCUGAUACCGCCCAAGAGUUCAUAUCGACGGCGGUGUUUGGCACCUCGAUGUCGGCUCAUCACAUCCUGGGGCUGAAGUAGGUCCCAAGGGUAUGGCUGUUCGCCAUUUAAAGUGGUACGCGAGCUGGGUUUAGAACGUCGUGAGACAGUUCGGUCCCUAUCUGCCGUGGGCGCUGGAGAACUGAGGGGGGCUGCUCCUAGUACGAGAGGACCGGAGUGGACGCAUCACUGGUGUUCGGGUUGUCAUGCCAAUGGCACUGCCCGGUAGCUAAAUGCGGAAGAGAUAAGUGCUGAAAGCAUCUAAGCACGAAACUUGCCCCGAGAUGAGUUCUCCCUGACCCUUUAAGGGUCCUGAAGGAACGUUGAAGACGACGACGUUGAUAGGCCGGGUGUGUAAGCGCAGCGAUGCGUUGAGCUAACCGGUACUAAUGAACCGUGAGGCUUAACCUU